UCCUAUUUUCGCUUCUCUGGUAGCUUCGUUGGACAUGGUUGUGAUUUUUUGGAGAAGAAGCACUAUUGCAGUUCAGUAGAGUCAAAAGCAAUUUGCAGCUACCAGAGUAAAGUUGUCUCAACUCCGCGACGAUUAGGUCAAUGGAUGAAUGGAAUCGCUAUGCACUGGUGUUGGACUAUCGAUGGUCACAAGAUUUAGCGACUGUCGAUGGAAUCAAAAAUAACAUCAUGCUUCCGGUUUAUGCAAGCUCAUCCCAGGAGCUACUCUGUAGUGUUCUUCUAAUUGUAUAUGGUACACCUUGCACCGGGUGCUUCAGUGGGGGCAACACUUGACCACCGACAUGUUUGAGCCCGGCGUGAUGAUAUGGAAGGCGCUACAGAAUAAACAGAGAUGGGAGCAUAUGGAGAGCUACAAAUCCUUCCUCCCAUCCGUCUGCAAUGUGUGAUGAGGGACAAGCAACAUCAGCAGGCGCUCCAUCACUGGCCGCCGCGCUGGUGACAGUGGGAAGGGGAAGAUGGCGGCAGCAUUCGGGGUUCACCAGGAGAACAGUGCAUCUGGGUCUGCGGUGGCGGUGUCAGAGUCAGAGGCGGAGGUGGUACAGAGUGCGUGUUGUCCGACAGGUCGCUGAUGCCCAUGGCCGUCAGCCAGAACGUGUUGGGUCGCUGAUGCAGGACGGCGGCGCAAUCGCCACAGUAAAUUCAGAGGCAUGAAUCCAUGAACUGAACAACUAGCUAAAGAUAGCAUGCAAUCAUUCUAUAUUGCACUUCAACCAUCAAGCACUUCAGAAUAUUUGGGGCGUUCGAGUGCACCGGGCACCAGUGUCUCGACAAGACGACGGUGAUCACGGUGGCGUGGACCUGUUGUUGAGGAUUGUCGCGCGGAGGUGCCCCAAGUGCAACUGCAGGUAAGUGCUUAACCUGAAUCUUUUGCUCAGAAGCUAAUUAUUUUCAAGUCACAAACUACAGUGAGGCAGGUUCCUAUCUGCUACAUGCGUGGAUUUUCAGGUGCAUGCAUUCUAUCUGCUACACAUUGGCUUUUCAGGUGCAUGCAUUCUACUACAUGCGUGGCUCCAUGAUGAUGGGUGCAUAUAUAUGUUUGCACGAAUAUGGAGUACUAAUUUGCAUAACUAUCCUCAGGUUAAAGCAUGCACCGUACACCUAAUUUUGGUAUGCAAAAAGCCACAAUCUUAUUCAUAUUUCACAUCAAAAUAUUGGAGUCUUCAUACUUCUUCCAUUGAUCUCAACUGAUUUACGUAGAGAACUUCAGAUACGUUGGUUAGGCAAUGCUAAACUCAAUUAGUCAUGGCAUUUUGUUGUUAUUAUUUAUGUGCAAUUUAUUUGAUGUAUCCUUCAUAAAAUAAUUAUUGAAUUGGCAAC